rnacentral:lncRNA from 1 species
GGAGAAGGAGGAUCUUGAAGACCUAGGAGAAGAGAGAGCUUGGAGAACAAGAAGGGGAUUUGCAGAUUUUCUUCUAUUUUUCUGGUUUAUUCUUCCAUUUUCUUUAUGAUUGUAAUUCAAGAUGUUUGUUCUUCAUCUUAAGAUGAACUAAUUUCCUUUGUCUAGGGGCUAAGAUGUAGCUUAAUCACGAUUUAUGUUUUUUAUUGGUUUAAAUUAAUUCUCUAUUUUGUAUCAA